AUUUGAUUAGACAUAAGAUUCUUUGACAAAUUAAAAAAGUAAUUCUAUUAAGACUUUAUACUUUAAUUAGACUUCUUGCAUCUUUUCUUUUAAACUUCUCUUUUAAAAUGGAUCUUUCUUUAAUGACUCAGUGUAGUCUUGAAAUGAGUAUAAUAAAAUUGGGAUAGCUGGAAUUUGAGUUCAAAUCGAGGCGGCUCAAAUCCUGUGAGUUUGGAAGGCCACCGGCAAACUCAUCUUCUCUAACAAAAUUUUCCAUCUUUUGUGGCAAUUUUCUUCUUUUUUGGAGAUUUUUUGUCUUCUUCUUCGAUCUCUUAUGCUUUCCAAGUACUUCUACGAUGAUUUCAUCACCAACUUGUGAACUUUAUGAAUUCGAAUUGAGCUCCAACAAGCUGCUAUGCAAACCCGGUUUGAUUCGAAUCCUGAGUUAUCUGCAAAGUUGUAAAAUUGGCUAUCUCAGACUGGACGGUUAAGAAAUAUGGUGAAUAACACCGGGCCUAGCUUCCAACAAGGCUCAGCCCAAUAAUUAGCACCCAUGCUUGAUUUCUCACGUGGGCUUUUGAGAGCUUAUAUAAUUGAAUUCUAGACUGGCAGGUUUGUGAGUUAGCUUGCCUUGACUGAAUAUUGGCAUGGCAUUUGCUGAAAAGGUCAUGGGUUGUGUUCAUAUAUUGUCCUUACAAGAAACACUCCCAAUCGUUUGUGACGUUAUUUUAUGCUGAUUUCAACUGUUCUUUUUUUGAACAAUUUAAUAUAGCAGAAAGAAUUUCAAGUGCGAAAAUCAUAUAUCCUGUGUUGGAGUUUUUGAGGUAGCUUGGAAUAUUCAAUUCUAGUGGGUACGGGAGAUCCUUUUUUGACAUGUAACAGUAUCUGAUGAGGGCUCUCUUCUAUUUUGCUGAUCAGUAUCACAUUUUUAUAAUGGGCAAAGACAAUAAUAUUGAUCAGGUUUUCUGUACUCAGAUCUGUGCAUGUGCAUGUGCUUGUUUUUAUAUAUGUUGAAUGUGAAGGUCAACCAACAGAAAGUUUUCUUGGCUGAUAUUCAAUGUUGCUUGGGAUAAAUAUACGAAUAUCUUUCUGAGAUGUUGGUCGGGUCUUGACUAACUAGCAUUUCAAUUAUUUAGAGCUUUAAAGGGUUUUGGCUGUAACCCUUUGGCCCUUUAAGACUUGUAAGAGAAAAGGUUCCUAACACUUAAGAGAAACUGUUCCUUCCUCAGUUGCCUUUAAUAUGCUUCAAAAAGAAAUUUCUUGGCCUGAACAGAUGUAACUUUUGCCCAUUCACAAAUAUGAGUUAUCGAGAGCCUUUAAAGGCUGGCUGGACAUUAGUGAUGUUUCUGUGCUUGUUUUGAAGGGACAAAAACCUCCUGCUCAACUAAAAGUAUAGGGAAACCUUCCUUUUCACAGAUUGGUACAAAAUAUUGCUGUCUAGUAGUUAAAAUGUGGUUAUCUUUUCAUUUCUGAGUCCAGCUGGUGAAGUUGAAAGUCCAUGAAUGAUGAAUCUGUGUGUCUCUCUCACACACACACACAUGUAUAUGCUUUUCAUUUUCUGACUUUAUUUAUCUGAUGUUGCCUAGGGUUAGGUUUUGUUCUCUUUUUGUUAAUUUACUAUUAUUUCACUUCUUGCUGUUACAUGAUACCAUUUGAAGCAGAAAUUUCUGAAGCCUACCAAAAUUUGUGAUUUUAGAGCCCUCAUUUUGAUGAUCUGCCUUGCUUGAUUUCUCAUGAAAGUCCCCUGUCCCAAAUAGCUUGCAUAUUGAAUGUUAAGCUACGAGUUUGAGGUCAAUAAUUGAAUUGCGAAAUGGGGUGUGGCCAGUGGCCCCUCAAUGAUUAUGAUUUGUCGAAUUUACUUUGUCCUACAUAGAGUGCAUCAAUUAAUUACAUUUCUUUCAAAUGAGUUGGCCUUUGCAUUAAUUGUUGAUGAUUUUUACUGGAACUGUUUGGUUGGAAGCCGAUUAUAACAAGGACCCAUUUGGCAGGCAUACCUCCACUUACAGAAUCACUGCUCAUUGAACUCCAUGGAAGCCCUGCUUGCAUGUUCCAUGCUGUGAUCUUGAGCUGAUGAUUUCAUCUUCCACUACAUUGCAAGCUUUGAUUAUGAUUGAAACAAGCAUUUGCCUGGCCUGCGGAUUGUGAGCAGACUGGAGGACCCAUUUUACUUCUAAGUUGAAACAUGCCAAAAGGCUUUUUAGCCAAAUUAUAUAAUGUAUUGUGCACCAGCCAUGGUGCCCAGUCGACCUGUGUAAAAGUGCAAUGUGUUAUGCGGCUGUCCAUGGACUAAAUAUUUUAAAAUCCAUCUCUUUCUCACAGGGUUUUAGUGGAAAGUGUGCUGUAUUAUCCAGUUUUAUAAUUCUCAGUUGUUCUCAUUCGUCUCA